CUUUACAAUGCGGGAAACCGUGAUAAGGGGACACCGAGUGCCAGCAUCAUAUGUUGGCUGUCCAGAUGUGUAAAAUACAUCUGUUAGCAAGGGCCGGGCAAGACCGGUGCCAGCCGCCGCGGUAACACCGGCGGCCCGAGUGGUGAUCGUGAUUAUUGGGUCUAAAGGGUCCGUAGCCGGUUUGGUCAGUCCUCCGGGAAAUCUGACGGCUCAACCGUUAGGCUUUCGGUGGAUACUGCCAGACUUGGAACCGGGAGAGGUAAGAGGUACUACAGGGGUAGGAGUGAAAUCUUGUAAUCCCUGUGAGACCACCUGUGGCGAAGGCGUCUUACCAGAACGGGUUCGACGGUGAGGGACGAAAGCUGGGGGCACGAACCGGAUUAGAUACCCGGGUAGUCCCAGCCGUAAACGAUGCUCGCUAGGUGUCAGGCAUGGCGCGACCGUGUCCGGUGCCGCAGGAAGCCGUGAAGCGAGCCACCUGGAAGACGCCGAGG
rnacentral:rRNA from 1 species